CAGGUUAUUAAAAUUAUUGAACUAAUGAAUGCUACAUGUAUAUAAAGAAAUAAUUCAAGUAUGAACGUUUUUUACAUUUAUUACAAAUCUAUAGCGUAUUGUCGACAAAUAAUAUUUCAUUCAUUGCUUGUUGAUUGCAAGUUACUUUCGGGUGUGUUGCCGAAGUUUACUGGUUUAUGGCAUUGAUAAACAAUCAACACAUAGCACGUGGAGCAUAUGAAAAAUAAAUGAAUUGAUAGAGCCAUAGUUUUUUAAAACAUUUUCUAUCAAACUUUUUUCCUUUUAACAUAUUGCUAAAUGAUUUGGUGUAUUUAAUUUGUUCCUUCAAAAUCUUUUUAUUAUUUACAUUGAAGUAUACGUUUGUUUACAUUCGUUCGUCACGGAUUCUCCCUUGCACUUGCAAUGUGCGCAGUCCUAACAAGUAGUAAUUCGUUACUCUUCAUUUUUCAAUUUUUGCCCGAUAAUCCCUACUUUUCUUUUCAUGAUUUUAUAACAUAUAGAUAAUUAUUUGAUAGCAGUACACGUACGAAGAUUAUGAUAGUAUUAAGGAUUAAUUUUUC
rnacentral:lncRNA from 1 species